ACUCCUACGGGAGGCAGCAGUAGGGAAUCUUCCACAAUGGACGAAAGUCUGAUGGAGCAACGCCGCGUGAGUGAAGAAGGGUUUCGGCUCGUAAAAACUCUGUUGUUAAAAGAAGAACAUAUCUGAGAGUAACUGUUCAGGUAUUGACGGUAUUUAACCAGAAAGCCACGGCUAACUACGUGCCAGCAGCCGCGGUAAUACGUAGGUGGCAAGCGUUGUCCGGAUUUAUUGGGGCGUAAAGCGAGCGCAGGCGGUUUUUAAGUCUGAUGUGAAAGCCUUCGGCUCAACCGAAGAAGUGCAUCGGAAACUGGGAAACUUGAGUGCAGAAGGGGACAGUGGAACUCCAUGUGUAGCGGUGAAAUGCGUAGAUAUAUGGAAGAACACCAGUGGCGAAGGCGGCUGUCUGGCCUGUAACUGACGCUGAGGCUCGAAAGUAUGGGUAGCAAACAGGAUUAGAUACCCUGGUAGGAUAGCG
rnacentral:rRNA from 1 species